CUCACUUCAGCACGUCAUUAUUUGACAUAACACAAGGAGAACAGGAGCUGAGGAUUUGAACAGCACCAUCAGAGUAAAGAAAACAAUGUUAAAAGGAUUGCUCAGCUCACAAACAAGAGCAUUUUGAUGCAGGGUUGGCAGGAAAGAGGUGCCUGUAAUCAGUCAGCAUUUUAAAUGAGAGUUUACUCUUACAAUUCAGCCUCACACUGUGAGGAAGCCUAAACAGUCACAUGGAAAGGCCCUGGGAAACAGGAAUAGAACUAAUUCCCUUCCCCGGUAGUUCCAGUUGUGCGGUCAUCCUUGUCAAAGUGCCAGAUGGGCAAGCAAAUACAUCUCAGACCUCCCAGACCAGCUGUCCUGCCAACUUAAUGUCACUAAGUGAACCUCCAGCAAUGCCAGAUAUGACACCAGACUCCAGCAUUAUAGUUCAUGGUUUCAGUCAAAUAUCAGGUGGAGAUAGGAUGGCAGAGAGGCAUGGCAGAGGAGAUGGUCCUCCAGCACGGCCACCCAGAAGCAGAGAGAAAAGAGAGGAACUGGAGACAAGAAUACAACCUUCCAGGCCACACCCAAAGAGAGCUGCCCACAACCUGGCCCCGCUCCUAACAUCACGUUCAUCUACCAAACUCUCAGAUGGAUGAAUUCAUUGAUGAUCAUGGCAUCCUCAUAAUUCAAUCAACCUCCAAGCACAUGAGACUUUGGGGACAUUUUGGGUCUAACUGUGUAUUUUUAUGCAUUAAAUACACUCAUUUUCAACAGUUGAAAACUAAUUCACAGUUUUAAAAUGUGCAGAAUCAGCUGGGCCCUAGCAGCCCUCUGGUGUUAAUAUUGACAACAAUUUUGCUCAUGGUUGACUCAAGGAGCCCAGAUGGCGAAAAUACAGGGCUAUAUAAUUUAGAGAAGCAUACCUUUCUGAAAAGUUCCAUGUUUUCCUGGGUUAGCUCUGCACCAUGAUUUUUAGGAUGACCCAGACACCAGCUAGUUUGCUUAUAGAAUAACGCUAUCCACAAGUAAACCUGGAACAUUCCCCAUAAAGACACAAUGCUGAGUCAAAAAGUAAUUUUUAUAGUUCCAUGUUGUAAAAUUCCCUAUAAACCCACAAUUUCCAAGCUGAAGCUUUCAGUAACUUUUGCUCAGGCUGCUGAAGGGGUUAGAGACAAUGGAUUGGGGUGGGGAGUGAUUAUCUGAGUUUGUAGAAAGAGAGGUGUAAAUCUUUAAAUCCAGUUUCCAUAGUUUUUGAUAAUGCUUGCAUCAUUUUGUUGAAGGCAAUCAUAAUGGCAUUGACUAAUGAACUCUGCAUGCCAACUACUGUGUUAAGGGCUCAGUAUCCAGAAAUGGACUAAGUCUUGUUCUCUCCUGCUAGUGAAUGAAAGAGGUACAGAAAAGAACCAUUGUAUUGCAGUGUGAUCCACUAUGAAAGAGGAAAGAACACAGUGUGCCUCCUGGCAGUCAGAGAUCAAAUCCAAGUGGAUGCAGGAGAAAGUUAUGCAGAAGAGAUGCCUGGAACUCCCUGAACCAGAAAGGCAGCGGUGCCUGACCCAGGGAAGCUGUGAUGGAGCCUAGCAUGGGAGGAGCUAACAGCAAGUCCCAGGUCACACUAAGAGUUUAAGCUCGAUUAGUGGUGGUGUAGCUCAGAGGAAGGCUUCAAGCAAGCUAAGUAUGAGCACAGCAUAUCUGUGUUUUAGGGGAAAAAAAAUCACUGAGGACAGCUCAGAGCCCUGAAUGGGGCAGCUCAGAAGCUAGAACUGAGGUAAGAGCUGUUUCUCUAAUGCAUGAAAGAACCAUGAAGACCUCUAAGCAACAGUGAGAAAAGGAGAGAUUUCAAUGCUUUGUGCAUGGUACAUAAUGUACAGUAAAAAUAAUUAUACCUUAACUUCUUUUCUUUUUAACACUUUAUAUCAUAAUAAUCACAUAUUCUGUCUGUUACCACAAAGUGCAAAAUUAGUGAAAUUUAAAAUCCAUAAACAACUAAUGACUGAAAUCGUACAUCAAUAAGAGCUUACAUUAAAGAAGAAAAAGCACACCAUCUAGUCUCAAUCUAGAAUUUUUAGGUUUUCUUGAUGCUUAUUCCCAUGACAAAUAAUUCGUUAAAAUAAAGGUUUAUCCCUUUAUUGGGAUUGGCGGAGUGUAAAGUGUUACGGCAUUUGUCUUAGUCCGGUUCCUAAAGAGCAGAGCCUGUUGCUGAGAGCUCGCUGGCUGCUACUUUAUCAGGAAAGAGGGUCCCAGAGCAGGCAGAAGAGUCGCGGAAGGCAUUGGGGAGAAAGGACUCUUACAAGGUUGCCAUGGUGCCUGUGAUGCCAGUCUCUGCUGAGUGCAGCUAAGGACUCUGGCUUCCUAGAACCUUCACACACAAUUUCUCCAAAUAAGCUGCCAGAGGAUGGAAAAGGAGGAAGAAAUUGGUCACCAGCCUCUACUUGCCAUGGGUUAAUAAAGUCAUCCCAUUCAUUCCCUGCCUAUUUCCCAUUUGUGGAUGUGCAGAGCCUGAGCUUGAAGCUAGAUUUAAGAUGCCCCACACCUGGCACUAACACCUGUACGAAAGGAGAGAGAUUGGUGGUGUCAGGGUGAACCUGCCUGACCCUCGGCCGCAUGCUAGAGCUGGGGCUGGGACGAGACUGGGGGAGUUAAUCCUAUAGGAAAUUGUACUUCUCAGCUCACUGAUACUGAAGCUUGCUUCUGGAUACACAAAUCAGGAUGGUUCAUGAAAAUUAAAACAACCUUGAACAGUUACAGACUUACCACUAAGAAUUUAUUUUUGAGAUGAGAAAUGCAAACACAAGUAAGAUUAUUUAGGAGUCUGUAUUGUUCAACCAUUCAAUAAAUAUUUGCUUUUUGUCUUAAUGGUGCUGUGACAGACUCUCAAAGCAUGUAAUGCUCUAAUCAUUGCACGCUGUGAUCUGUUCAGGCUGCUUCCUCUCCUCCUGUUCUCCUAACUUCUCACCUGAGACUCCAGGGUCCAUUGCCACAGCUAUGCAUCUACAUAUGUCCACUCCCUUGCCCUUCUCAGGGGCCUUGUGAUACAGAAGAAUCAAAAGAGAUUAACUCCUAGAGCCACAUCCUCCUGCCUCCCCUGGCGUCACUCCUCCUGCCACCCCUGGCUUCUGCGUCCAUGGGCAAACUGUGUGACUUUUUAGAAAGGGGAUUGUUUUCAGUUUUGGAGAAUGGAAACUGGGAUUCAAUUUUUUGUUUGGUUGUGCUUGUUUUUGUUUGCUUUUUGAAAUAGGGUCUCCAUAAGUCACUGUGUUGUCCAGACUGGGCUUAAACUUUUGAUCCUCCUGCCUCAGACUCCCAGAUAGAUAAGAUUACACCCCAUCAUCCUCUGCUCUUCUGGUUCUUAUUAGUGCCAGCUCUCACAAUUUUUGGUUCUAUCCCAUCUUAUCUAUAUGGAGAUACUGACCCAGAAUUUGUCCUGUUUGCCUUCAGUAAUCAGUUUUUCUUCUCUACUGGAUCAGUAAACAGGCAUGCUAGGAUAUUCUGAUCUUCAUUAUACCUCAUACCUCACCCAGCUGAGGAGCCAACAUCUCCUGCCUCUGUCUCCCUGGGUAGAAUUCUUCUUAGCUUUUCCUUUCAUUUUCCCCUGAACCUCCCUCAUUCCCACCUCUCUACCAAACUGUUCUUUGCUGAGAUCACUAAUGACCACACCCUGAUAAAUGCA